rnacentral:rRNA from 1 species
AGACCCGAAACCCGGUGAUCUAGCCAUGGGCAGGUUGAAGGUUGGGUAACACUAACUGGAGGACCGAACCGACUAAUGUUGAAAAAUUAGCGGAUGACCUGUGGCUGGGGGUGAAAGGCCAAUCAAACCGGGAGAUAGCUGGUUCUCCCCGAAAGCUAUUUAGGUAGCGCCUCGUGAAUUCAUCUCCGGGGGUAGAGCACUGUUUCGGCUAGGGGGCCAUCCCGGCUUACCAACCCGAUGCAAACUGCGAAUACCGGAGAAUGUUAUCACGGGAGACACACGGCGGGUGCUAACGUCCGUCGUGAAGAGGGAAACAACCCAGACCGCCAGCUAAGGUCCCAAAGUCAUGGUUAAGUGGGAAACGAUGUGGGAAGGCCCAGACAGCCAGGAUGUUGGCUUAGAAGCAGCCAUCAUUUAAAGAAAGCGUAAUAGCUCACUGGUCGAGUCGGCCUGCGCGGAAGAUGUAACGGGGCUAAACCAUGCACCGAAGCUGCGGCAGCGAACGUAUCACUUAAAGCGAUUCAGCGGGUUACGAUUGACGGAGCGAAGCGACGUCAAAGCGUAUACAAAGUCGAGUCGGUUUAAGGAUACGUUCGUUGGGUAGGGGAGCGUUCUGUAAGCCUGUGAAGGUGGCCUGUGAGGGUUGCUGGAGGUAUCAGAAGUGCGAAUGCUGACAUAAGUAACGAUAAAGCGGGUGAAAAGCCCG